UUUGACAGUGAUGAAUCAAUGCAGACCUGUAAUGAUUUGUCAACUUGAUCGCAACUUAUUAUGAACAUCUAAGGGACUGAGUCAAA